rnacentral:tRNA from 1 species
AGCUCAGUUGGUCAGAGCAUACGGUUCAUACCCGUAGAGUCGUUGGUUCGAAUCCAACC